UGUGUAGGCGGUUGCUUAAGUUUGGUGUGAAAUCUCCCGGCUCAACUGGGAGGGUGCGCCGAAUACUGAGUGACUAGAGUGCGGGAGAGGAGAGUGGAAUUCCUGGUGUAGCGGUGAAAUGCGUAGAUAUCAGGAGGAGCACCGGUGGUGUAGACGGCUCUCUGGACCGUAACUGACGCUGAGACACGAAAGCGUGGGUAGCGAACAGGAUUAGAUACCCUGGUAGUCCACGCCCUAAACGAUGCAUAUUUGGUGUGGGCCGUUCAGUCGGUCCGUGCCGGAGCUAACGCGUUAAAUAUGCCGCCUGGGGAGUACAGUCGCAAGGCUGAA
rnacentral:rRNA from 1 species